GCGACCCCAAGUCAGGCNGGACUACCCGCUGAGUUUAAGCAUAUAAAUAAGCGGUGGAGAAGAAACUUACAAGGAUUCCCCUAGUAACGGCGAGCG
rnacentral:rRNA from 1 species